CCAAAACCCGGUGUCACUAAGUACAUGAGCAUCUAAAUAGUAACAAAGUCUGACUGAUAAGAACACUAUGUGAAAAUAUAGAACAAUACAAUAACUGAAAGGAAAGAGAGUCAAGGUCUGCGGACGCCAAAUAACUACUUUGAUAGUCUCCAAUAGAUAAAUCCUCAAAUCUGGCAACCGCCGUAUCCGGAAGUACCUAGAUCUGCACACGAGGUGCAGAGUGUAAUAUGAGUACAACCAACUCAAUAAGUAACAAGACUAACCUUUGGGCUGAAAGUAGUGACGAGCUCAACAGGUACAAUUUAAUAUAGAAAUAAUAGUACAGAAAUGUAGGCAUGUUUUCCAGUUAAACUCAGUACAGGUAAAAUAGAUAAAUUCUGCAUGAUAUGAGUAAUAUGACAUUUCUAUAUCUACAUGCCAAAAUAUAUGAUGUAUGUGAUGUACCACAAUGGAAACUUCGUGUAUUCACACUCUCCGAAUACUCAAUCACUUAGUACUGUAUAUGUCCAAUCUAGCCCAGGGAACUCCAUCACAGAUAUAUAUAUAUAUAUAUAUAUAUAUAUAUAUACUAACNNNNNNNNNNNNNNNNNNNNNNNNNNNNNNNNNNNNNNNNNNNNNNNNNNNNNNNNNNNNNNNNNNNNNNNNNNNNNNNNNAAUAUCACUCAAAAUCUCCAGUCUCUCGGGCUCUCAAUGACAUGAAAAUCAACCCGACAUGAUGAUUUGAUGUAUCAAUGAAUGACAAAGAGACUAAGAUAUGAUAUGCAAAUGAUGGAUGUGACUGAGUACACAAUUACAAUUUAAACAAAUAAUUUCACAACAACACGACCCAUGUGGGUCCCAAAAAUAUCGGCACGUAGCCUGAACAUGAUCUUCAAUAUGAGUCUCAGCUCAAUUUCUCUAACACGUGGAGGAUAUGUGGAUAAUGACAUUUAUUUAAUUAUACAACUCCACGGAAUCAAUUAAAUAAUAAUUUCUACGAUGCACGCCCACACGCCCGUUACCUAGCGUGUGCGUCACCUCCAAAUAAUUGAUAUAACACAAAAUUCAGGGAUUCAUACCCUCAGGACCAAGUUUAGAAAUGUUACUUACCUCAAACCGUGUAAUUCUUUAUUCCAUUAUGCCCUUGCCUCGCGAAUCGGCUUUCGAACGCCUUGAAUCUAGUCACAAUUAAUUAGAUUCAGUCAAUAUAAAUUAUAGAAAUUUAAUUCCAUAUGAAAAUACUAAUUUUCCAAUAAAAUCCGAAAUUCCACUCAAACAUUGAUAGUGGGGCCCACAUCUCGUAACUCGACAAAAGUUACAAAAUAUGAACGCUCAUUUGACCACGAGUCCAACCAUACCAAUUUUACCAAAUUCUGAUAUCAACUCGACCCUCAAAUCGUCAAUUUAAACUUAAGGGUUUUCAAAAUUUUCCCAACUUAAAACACCAAUUAAAUGCUAAAAAUAGCAAUAGAUUCGGGUAAUUUGACCAAAAUUGAGUUAAGAACAAUUUGCCUCCAGUUUUCCUUCGCGAACGCGGGAACCCCAUCGCGAACGCGAAGAAGAAAAUCAGACAGUGCAUCAGAAAAAUUCCAGCAAAGUUCAAAGUCCAAAAUUCAAUCCGUUAACCAUCCGAAACUCACCCGAGGCCCCCGGGACGUCAACUAAAUGCACCAACAAGUCCUAAAACAUCAUACGAACUUAGUCGAACCUCUAAAUCACAUCAACCAACGCUAAAAAUAUGAAUCAUACCCCAAUUAAAGCUUAAUGUAACUAAAAAAUUCUAACUUCUAUAUUCGAUGCCGAAACCUAUCAAAUCAAGUCCGAUUGACCUCAAAUUUUACACACAAAUUAUAAAUGAAAUAACUGACCUAUUCCAAUUUCCAGAACCAUCUGGGUCGUUACACGUCAGAACUUACAAAAAUACUUCUCCAAGUAGAAAGCCUCAGAACUCGCACAACUCAGUUUCUGAGUUACAGUCAUAUUCGACUCAAACACAUGUGAAUGAAGAUCAUAUUGAGAAUAAUCAUAAAUAUAUGCAAAGUAAGCAGAUAACAAAAGUGAGUUAUUACUGAUAUCUUCUUGACUUGUUCCCCAAUCACAAUUUAAAGCUGGUGUAGAAUUCAUCACAAAUCUUUUGAGAGUUCCUUGAGAAUGAAAACGUUCUUGUGUUCUUUUUGUGUGGGGGGGACUAUUUGAUGAUUGGCUUGCGGACAUUCUGGAAUUCUCUUUAUUUUUAUUUAUACCCUGCACCUCUUAAAUUGAGAAAUUGAAAAGGCAAACCUCUUAAAUUGGCGUUUGAUAAAAUU
rnacentral:lncRNA from 1 species